rnacentral:lncRNA from 1 species
UUUUGAAAUAGUACUUGCAUGUAUUGUGAAUUCUAGAUUUUUUUCAUAUUAUUUUUAUUAUAUAUUGAAGUGAUGGAUGCUGGUCUUUAUUAUUGGAGCAAACAUUAAUUAUCAUUUUCAUCCAAUAAAGGAAUUAUUUCUUAUUGGUAAAAUUUUGAAAUUUAGCGUGUUGAGAAUUACUAUUAAAUUAUGUGAUUAAGGAUGAUGUUAUCUGGUAUAUUGGCUUCUUUAACUAUAAGAAAAGAGGAGAUUAUAUGCUUUCAGGUUAGUCGUGUUGAGGGAUGAAUGUGCAAUGGUGAUUGAUGAUGCCAGCUAUGGCACCUUUCAAGUCUCUCAAUAAACAAAGUAAUUUUAAAUUUACUAUUCAGCCAAGUAGAAUUAUCAAAGAAGAAUUUUCGGGA